rnacentral:rRNA from 1 species
CUGGCACUGAAACACGGGCCAGACUCCUACGGGAGGCAGCAGUGGGGAAUCUUGCACAAUGGGGGAAACCCUGAUGCAGCGACGCCGCGUGAGCGAUGAAGCCCUUCGGGGUGUAAAGCUCUUUCGUCAGGGACGAUAAUGACGGUACCUGGAGAAGCAGCUGCGGCUAACUACGUGCCAGCAGCCGCGGUAAUACGUAGGCAGCGAGCGUUGUUCGGAGUUACUGGGCGUAAAGGGUGUGUAGGCGGUUUUCUAAGUUUGGUGUGAAAUCUCCCGGCUCAACCGGGAGGGUGCGCCGAAAACUGGGAGACUAGAGUGCGGGAUGGGAGAGUAGAAUUCCUGGUGUAGCGGUGAAAUGCGUAGAUAUCAGGAGGAAUACCGGUGGUGUAGACGGCUCUCUGGACCGCCACUGACGCUGAGACACGAAAGCGUGGGUAGCAAACAGGAUUAGAUACCCUGGUAGUCCACGCCCUAAACGAUGCAUAUUUGGUGUAGGUCAUUCAGUUGAUCUGUGCCGGAGCUAACGCGUUAAAUAUGCCGCCUGGGGAGUACAGUCGCAAGGCUGAAACUCAAAGGAAUUGACGGGGGCCCGCACAAGCGGUGGAGCAUGUGGUUCAAUUCGACGCAACGCGAAGAGCCUUACCUGGGCUCGAACGGCUUCUCAACGAUCGUGGAAACACGGUUACUCCGCAAGGGGGUGGAGUCGAGGUGCUGCAUGGCUGUCAUCAGCUCGUGUCGUGAGAUGUUGGGUUAAGUCCCGCAACGAGCGCAACCCUUGUCCUGUGUUGCCAUCCCGCAAGGGGGGACUCGCAGGAGACCGCCAGCGAUAAGCUGGAGGAAGGUGGGGAUGACGUCAAGUCCUCAUGGCCUUUAUGUCCAGGGCUACACACGUGCUACAAUGGCCGGUACAAAGCGCAGCUAAGCCGCGAGGUGGAGCCAAUCGCAAAAAACCGGUCUCAGUUCGGAUUGCAGGCUGCAACUCGCCUGCAUGAAGCUGGAAUCGCUAGUAAUGGCGUAUCAGAACGAUGCCGUGAAUACGUUCCCGGGCCUUGUACACACCGCCCGUCACAUCACGAAAGUGGGUUGUACUAGAAGUCUGCAGCUGACCCGCAAGGGAGGCAGCGGCCCAAGGUAUGACUCAUGAUUGGGGUGAAGUCGUAACAAGGUAGCCGUAGGAACCUGCGGCUG